CUCAGAACGAACGCUGGCGGCAGGCCUAACACAUGCAAGUCGAGCGAGGACUUCGGUCCUAGCGGCGGACGGGUGAGUAACGCGUGGGAACGUGCCCUUCACUACGGAAUAGUCCCGGGAAACUGGGUUUAAUACCGUAUACGCCCUUCGGGGGAAAGAAUUUCGGUGAAGGAUCGGCCCGCGUCUGAUUAGGUAGUUGGUGGGGUAACGGCCUACCAAGCCUACGAUCAGUAGCUGGUUUGAGAGGAUGAUCAGCCACACUGGGACUGAGACACGGCCCAGACUCCUACGGGAGGCAGCAGUGGGGAAUCUUAGACAAUGGGGGCAACCCUGAUCUAGCCAUGCCGCGUGAGUGACGAAGGCCCUAGGGUCGUAAAGCUCUUUCACCAGGGAAGAUAAUGACGGUACCUGGAAAAGAAACCCCGGCUAACUCCGUGCCAGCAGCCGCGGUAAUACGGAGGGGGUUAGCGUUGUUCGGAAUUACUGGGCGUAAAGCGCGCGUAGGCGGACUGUUAAGUCAGGGGUGAAAUCCCGGGGCUCAACCCCGGAACUGCCCUUGAUACUGGCAGUCUCGAGUUCGAGAGAGGUGAGUGGAACUCCGAGUGUAGAGGUGAAAUUCGUAGAUAUUCGGAAGAACACCAGUGGCGAAGGCGGCUCACUGGCUCGAUACUGACGCUGAGGUGCGAAAGUGUGGGGAGCAAACAGGAUUAGAUACCCUGGUAGUCCACACCGUAAACGAUGAAUGCCAGACGUCGGGCAGCAUGCUGUUCGGUGUCACACCUAAC
rnacentral:rRNA from 1 species